AAAAUCCUCAUGAACAAGAAUGCACCCUCUUUUUUAAUCGGUUAAAUUUAGGAUUGAGUUUGUUUGGGUUUGAGUAGUACUGGGUUGGGUGACCUCCUGAGAAAUUCAAAUUAAGGAAUUUA
rnacentral:rRNA from 1 species